AUUGAACGCUGGCGGCAGGCCUAACACAUGCAAGUCGAACGGUAACAGGAAGAAGCUUGCUUCUUUGCUGACGAGUGGCGGACGGGUGAGUAAUGUCUGGGAAACUGCCUGAUGGAGGGGGAUAACUACUGGAAACGGUAGCUAAUACCGCAUAACGUCGCAAGACCAAAAAGGGGGACCUUCGGGCCUCUUGCCAUCGGAUGUGCCCAGAUGGGAUUAGCUAGUAGGUGGGGUAACGGCUCACCUAGGCGACGAUCCCUAGCUGGUCUGAGAGGAUGACCAGCCACACUGGAACUGAGACACGGUCCAGACUCCUACGGGAGGCAGCAGUGGGGAAUAUUGCACAAUGGGCGCAAGCCUGAUGCAGCCAUGCCGCGUGUAUGAAGAAGGCCUUCGGGUUGUAAAGUACUUUCAGCGGGGAGGAAGGGAGUAAAGUUAAUACCUUUGCUAAUUGACGUUACCCGCAGAAGAAGCACCGGCUAACUCCGUG
rnacentral:rRNA from 1 species